rnacentral:lncRNA from 1 species
AUGAUUACAUGGGCUGAAAAAAGAACUUGAAAAUCAAAUAAGGUACUUAUGUAUUAUUCGGAUGAGGUUUGUUAUUUUAAAUAGUAACGUAUAAAUAAGUCUGAUGCAGGUGUGUGGACACUGUUAAUGAAAUAGAAAGGCAGUCCUGCACACUGUCACAGCCUGGAAAUCGUCACCAGACAUUGGAUAUUUUAAUAGCAUCAUACAAUAAACCAGUAUUUCAGGAUAAACUGAGAGAUCUGUGAUCAGUCAUGCACAUAAAGAUGUUUUUGUUUUAUCAGUUACUGACAUCUGUGUGUGUCGGUAGAGGGAUGGACUCUGGAAACAGUCUUGAACACAAAAAUGAAAAGGUACAAGUCAGAAGAUCACUUGCAGAGGUCUGACACACACUGAAUCUGUAGGAUGGCUCCUGCUGCUUUACUCAUCGGCUGUCUGCUUGCCACAAUCAGCUGCUUAACCACAGGUCAAACUACCACAUCAAUUAAUGCUGUUCCUGCAUCACCUAAUGCAACUGACAUGUCGGACAAUGCAACUAAUGUAUUGCCUGACGCAACUAGUGCAACUACCAUUUUGCCCAACGGGGGUAACACAUCACCUAGCACCACCAUGGCACCCAACUCAACCAACACGGUGCCCAGUGUAACCAACACGCCGCCCAACAUGCCGCCAAAUGCAACCAACAUGGCAACCAACACAGACACCAUGGCGCCAACGCAACAACGCAACAAUGCAACCAACACACCACCAAAUGCAACCAACACACCACCAAAUGCAACCAACACGCCGCCCAACGCAACCAACACACCACCAAAUGCAACCAACACACCACCAAAUGCAACCAACACGCCACCAAAUGCAACCAACACGCCGCCCAACGCAACCAACACGGCGCCAAAUGCAACUAGCGCAUUACCUAAUGCGACUACAACAAAUGCAACAACUCCUCAGGCUUCAUUGUAUGGAAGUUGUGCGAGUCCAGAUCUGUGCUGCUCUGGAGUGAAUAGCAGCUGUCGUCGCAAAAAUUGUUAUUGUGAUGUUGCUUGUCUGAGAUUACGUGACUGCUGCCCUGAUUUUAAACCCACCUGCCUCACAGUGAAAAACAGCACAAACAGCAGCAACACUUUGCCACUAACAGGAACAUGUUCGCAUCCGACUCUGUGCUGCAAUGGCACAGACUACAACUGUUUCAGAGGAUGUUUCUGUGAUGAGUCCUGCAAAAUGCUCAACGACUGCUGUCCCGACUACAACAGCACCUGCAGUUUCAAUAGCACAACUACAGCUCCACCCUUCAACUCCACUACAACUCCCCAUCAUAUCUCCACUGCAGCUCCACCCAAAGCACUCACUGUUCAGGAGGUGAAGGUGAAGAUGUUUUUGCCUGAAGAAGAGCAUCACGCUGCACUGCUUCAAGUUGGCACUGUGCUGGAGAAGUUGUUAAAAGAGAAUAAUACUGACAUCUACUCUUUCAAAGUUACGAAAAUUAAACGGGUAUCUCCAUAG